AAUAAAAACCAAAAUGUAGAGACUACAAAUAUUUCAAAAUCGGCCACGUAACGGCAUAAAAGGCCAAUUAACUUGUAGUUCAAAAUUUCACAAAAUCUCUUUCUCAUUCUCUCUCACACAGACUAACACGAAGAAACUCUAAUGUCAUACCACGACGAAGACUGCUCUCGCUAUCUCCAAAACGUUGAACAACUUGCCCCGAUAAGCGGCCAAUCCGGUUCCGAAACCGAAGUAGAAGAGCAUUGCAAGCGGAGGAGAAGCUUGUUCGUCGAACGGAGUGGGAAGCAUCGAAGGCUCGCGAGAUAAUGAGUGGAAUCGGAUUGAAAUCGACGGUCUCUUUUUUUCCUAUUUAUUUGCAUGGAAGCUUGGACCAACGAGGGUGACCGUUAUAUCUGAGGACAACUUAUUUGGAGCAUAUAUUAGGAGAUGUGCAGACCAGAGCAUCUAGAUUAGCAGAUGCUGGUGGGCUCUGUCAAGGAAGACCUGUAUUUGAAUGGUGUAAGCACAUAUGUACAUGCAAUAUAUCUUGUAGGAUACAGCUUUGGCUCUACUUUUUGUGGACUAGGAUCUCCUUACAGUUUCAUGUAAACAGAAUCAGUAAAGCACAAUAUAUCCAGCCCAAGAACAUGAAUCAAUAUCCAAUUACAACCAAAUUCAAAUAUAUGCAAGAACCGGAUUCAAGCAUGGGAAAGAUUUCACAAGUAGACUGCAACGUAUGGAAUUGUGAAGUACAAUGUAAUUGUGCUUCUGCCUGUUAUCAGGCAACAAGCAUGUAACAUGUUUCCCUUGCUGAAAUCAAUAACUUGAUGGACUGGAAAUUGAUGCUGAAACAUGAAGCUUAUGGGCUUUUUUGUUUUAUUUGUUGUUCAAGGUGGUAAAUGAUUUAUGUAGACAUAUUCUGUGAGAUAGUGUGAUUUACUCCCCCCCGCCCCCCUUCUUUUUUUGUUGACUCAAUUAUCGUAACAUCUGUGCUUUUAAUUAAGCAACUGUUUCCUAGAGUAAUUUUUUGCAAACUUGUUCCAUUAAAAUUUCUCUGUAACUCAUUGUUGCCUUGCAAUUUUUUACUUGGAAUAACUUGUUUUUAUGUGACAUGUCCAUGUGUAUGGAUGCACAAACCCAAAAUUUGAACCAUAGAGAACUUUGUAAGGGAGAUAAAAUUAAAUCUUUCAAGAGGAUAAAGGCCCUUAUUAAAUCUUUACUAUGUGGAAACUUCCCAAACAUUAAUGACAGAGUUCCUUAGUUGAGUGGAUAGCUACAUAUUUAUGUGAUAUUCUUGGUUCUGGGCAUGUUGCUGAUAGUUGCAGAGUAACAGUU